AGCGAACGCUGGCGGCAGGCCUAACACAUGCAAGUCGAACGAACUCUUCGUAGUUAGUGGCUGACGGGUGAGUAACACGUCGGAACGUUCCGUUAGGUUCGGAAUAACUCAGUGUAACUUGAGCUAAUACCGGAUGUGUCAUUCGAGGGCAAGAUUUAUCGUCCUUGUAGCGGCACGAGUCGGUCUAGCAAGUUGGUGAUGUAAAGGCCUACGAAGGGGUCGCUAGUUAGCGGGUCUGAGAGGAUGAGCAGCCACAUUGGGACUGAGACACGGCCGAAACUCUUACGGGAGGCAGGAGUGGCGGAUCUAGCGCAACCGGCUAAAGGAUGACGGAGCUAUGCUGCUAGAAUGAUGAUGUUGUUAGGAUAGAAAAAUUCUUUCACCGGGGGCUAUACUGACGGUACCCAAAGAAGAAGCACCGGCUAACUUCGUG
rnacentral:rRNA from 1 species